GUUGGGUUGGGAUGACAGGCAUACU
rnacentral:piRNA from 1 species